rnacentral:rRNA from 1 species
UAACCUGCCCAAGAGACUGGGAUAACACCUGGAAACAGAUGCUAAUACCGGAUAACAACACUAGACGCAUGUCUAGAGUUUAAAAGAUGGUUCUGCUAUCACUCUUGGAUGGACCUGCGGUGCAUUAGCUAGUUGGUAAGGUAGCGGCUUACCAAGGCAAUGAUGCAUAGCCGAGUUGAGAGACUGAUCGGCCACAUUGGGACUGAGACACGGCCCAAACUCCUACGGGAGGCAGCAGAC